GAUGAACGCUGGCGGCGUGCUUAACACAUGCAAGUCGAACGGAAAGGCCUCUGCUUGCAGGGGUACUCGAGUGGCGAACGGGUGAGUAACACGUGGGUGAUCUGCCCUGCACUUCGGGAUAAGCCUGGGAAACUGGGUCUAAUACCGGAUAGGACAAUGGUUUGGAUGCUGUUGUGGAAAGUUUUUCGGUGUGGGAUGAGCUCGCGGCCUAUCAGCUUGUUGGUGGGGUAAUGGCCUACCAAGGCGUCGACGGGUAGCCGGCCUGAGAGGGUGUACGGCCACAUUGGGACUGAGAUCCGGCCCAGACUCCUACGGGAGGCAGCAGUGGGGAAUAUUGCACAAUGGGCGCAAGCCUGAUGCAGCGACGCCGCGUGGGGGAUGACGGCCUUCGGGUUGUAAACUCCUUUCGCUAGGGACGAAGCGUUUUUGUGACGGUACCUGGAGAAGAAGCACCGGCUAACUACGUG
rnacentral:rRNA from 1 species